AACGAACGCUGGCGGCGCGCCUAAUACAUGCAAGUCGAGCGAGAAGACGUAGCAAUACGUUUGUAAAGCGGCGAACGGGUGAGGAAUACAUGGUAACCUACCCUCGAGUGGGGAAUAACUAGCCGAAAGGUUAGCUAAUACCGCGUACGCUCCUUGGACUUCGGUUCAGGGAGGAAAGCGAUACCGUGGGUAUCGCGCUCUUGGAUGGGCUCAUGUCCUAUCAGCUUGUUGGGAGGUAACGGCUCACCAAGGCUUCGACGGGUAGCUGGUCUGAGAGGACGGAUCAGCCACACUGGCACUGCGACAC
rnacentral:rRNA from 1 species